rnacentral:rRNA from 1 species
AAUGGGCGAAAGCCUGAUCCAGCCAUGCCGCGUGAGUGAAGAAGGCCUUCGGGUUGUAAAGCUCUUUCAGGUGGAAAGAAAACGCAUAGGUUAAUACCUUGUGCGGAUGACGGUACCAUCAGAAGAAGCACCGGCUAACUACGUGCCAGCAGCCGCGGUAAUACGUAGGGUGCGAGCGUUAAUCGGAAUUACUGGGCGUAAAGCGUGCGCAGGCGGUUAUGUAAGACAGAUGUGAAAUCCCCGGGCUCAACCUGGGAACUGCGUUUGUGACUGCAUAACUAGAGUACGGCAGAGGGAGGUGGAAUUCCGCGUGUAGCAGUGAAAUGCGUAGAUAUGCGGGGGAACACCGAUGGCGAAGGCAGCCUCCUGGGCCAGUACUGACGCUCAUGCACGAAAGCGUGGGGAGCAAA